AGUGAACGCUGGCGGCGUGCUUAACACAUGCAAGUCGAACGAGAACGGAAUAUAGCUUGCUAUAUUUGUCAGCUAAGUGGCGCACGGGUGAGUAAUGUAUAGAUAACCUGCCCUUAAGAAAGGAAUAACAGUUGGAAACGACUGCUAAUGCCCUAUAUGCCUUUAAUACAUAAGUAUGCAAGGGAAACGCUUUAGUGCUUAAGGAUGGGUCUGUAUGGUAUCAGCUUGUUGGUGAGGUAAUGGCUCACCAAGGCUAUGACGCCUAACUGGUUUGAGAGGAUGAUCAGUCACACUGGAACUGAGACACGGUCCAGACUCCUACGGGAGGCAGCAGUGGGGGAUAUUGCACAAUGGACGAAAGUCUGAUGCAGCGACGCCGCGUGGAGGAUGACACAUUUCGGUGCGUAAACUCCUUUUAUAUAGGAAGAUAAUGACGGUACUAUAUGAAUAAGCACCGGCUAACUCCGUGCCAGCCGCCGCAGUAACAC
rnacentral:rRNA from 1 species